CCUACGGGCGGCAGCAGUGGGGGAUAUUGCACAAUGGGGGAAACCCUGAUGCAGCGACGCCGCGUGGGUGAAGAAGCGCCUCGGCGCGUAAAGCUCUGUCAGCAGGGACGAAAAUGAAGGUACCUCAAGAAGAAACCCCGGCUAAAUACGUGCCAGCAGCCGCGGUAAUACGUAGGGGGCAAGCGUUAUCCGGAUUUACUGGGUGUAAAGGGGGCGCAGGCGGCGAUGCAAGCCAGGAGUGAAAGCCCGGGGCCCAACCCCGGGACUGCAUUUGGAACUGCGUGGCUAGAGUGCAGGAGGGGCAAGCGGAAUUCCUGGUGUAGCGGUGAAAUGCGUAGAUAUCAGGAGGAACACCGGUGGCGAAGGCGGACUGCUGGACUGCAACUGACGGUGAGGCCCGAAAGCGUGGGGAGCAAACAGGAUUAGAUACCCCGGUAGUC
rnacentral:rRNA from 1 species